UGCGUAGGCGGAAUGAUAAGUUAGUGGUGAAAGCCUCCGGCUCAACCGGAGAACUGCCAUUAAUACUGUUAUUCUUGAGUAUAGUUGAAGUGGGCGGAAUGUAUCAUGUAGCGGUGAAAUGCUUAGAUAUGAUACAGAACACCAAUAGCGUAGGCAGCUUGCUAAACUAUAACUGACGCUCAGGCACGAAAGCGUGGGGAGCAAACAGGAUUAGAUACCCUGGUAGUCC
rnacentral:rRNA from 1 species